rnacentral:rRNA from 1 species
UACGAAGGGGGCUAGCGUUGCUCGGAAUCACUGGGCGUAAAGGGCGUGUAGGCGGUUUGUUAAGUCUGGCGUGAAAGCUCUCGGCUAAACCGGGAGAGGUCGUUGGAUACUGGCGAACUAGAGGAUGGUAGAGGCGUGUGGAAUUCCGGGUGUAGUGGUGAAAUGCGUAGAGAUCCGGAGGAACACCAGUGGCGAAGGCGACACGCUGGGCCAUACCUGACGCUAAAGCGCGACAGCAUGGGGAGCAAACGGG